GAGCUCGUAGCUUAGUUUGGUGGAGCACCCGACUGAUAAUCGGGAGGCCCGAGGUUCAAAUCCUCGCGGGCUCA
rnacentral:tRNA from 1 species